rnacentral:rRNA from 1 species
UAGGCUGCCCAUUGCUGAUUUUGAUAUGAAAAACCAUGAAGUUCAGGCCUGGUUAGUACUUUAUUGGGAGACCAUCUGGGAAUGCAAGGUGCUGGAUUCU